rnacentral:rRNA from 1 species
GCUUGGUCAAAGAUUAAGCCAUGCAUGUCUAAGUAUAAGCAAUCUAUACUGUGAACCUGCGGAAGGAUCAAUAAUACAGAGGUUGCAUGUUUUAUUAGAAUUUACUGGCCCGAAACCACCGUUGGUUGUUUUGUUAGAUGAAUGUUACAUCCCCCGGCCCCACCCUGGAAUAUCUUCCAUAAACUCCCAACUAGAAGUAGGGGGAAGGUUGUUGAUUCUAACCUUGUAACGAAUCGCAUGGCCUUGCGCCGGCGAUGGUUCAUUCAAAUUUCUGCCCUAUCAACUUUCGAUGGUAGGAUAGUGGCCUACCAUGGUGGCAACGGGUAACGGGGAAUUAGGGUUCGAUUCCGGAGAGGGAGCCUGAGAAACGGCUACCACAUCCAAGGAAGGCAGCAGGCGCGCAAAUUACCCAAUCCCGACACGGGGAGGUAGUGACAAUAAAUACUGAUACGGGGCUCUUUUGGGUCUCGUAAUUGGAAUGAGAACAAUUUAAAUCCCUUAACGAGGAACAAUUGGAGGGCAAGUCUGGUGCCAGCAGCCGCGGUAAUUCCAGCUCCAAUAGCGUAUAUUAAAGUUGUUGCAGUUAAAAAGCUCGUAGUUGAACCUUGGGUCUGGCUGGCCGGUCCGCCUCACCGCGAGUACUGGUCCGGCUGGACCUUUUCCUUCUGGGGAACCC